GGUAGCAUGCCAGAGUGGUUAAUGGGUUAGCCUCGAACCGCUAAUGGCUUCGGAAAGCUAAUGGCUUCGGCCGCACAGGUUCGAAUCCUGUUGCUAUCG